rnacentral:rRNA from 1 species
GACACGACUCUCGGCAAUGGAUAUCUCGGCUCUCGCAUCGAUGAAGAGCGCAGCGAAAUGCGAUACGUGG